CCGUAGGUGAACCUGCGGAAGGAUCAUUAUUGAAUAAACCUGAUGUGACUGUUAGCUGGCUUUUCGAAGCAUGUGCUCGUCCAUCAUCUUUAUCUCUCCACCUGUGCACAUUUUGUAGUCUUGGAUACCUCUCGAGGAAACUCGGAUUUGAGGAUCGCCGUGCUGUACAAGUCGGCUUUUCUUUCAUUUCCAAGACUAUGUUUUUAUAUACACCAAAGUAUGUUUAUAGAAUGUCAUCAAUGGGAACUUGUUUCCUAUAAAAUUAUACAACUUUCAGCAACGGAUCUCUUGGCUCUCGCAUCGAUGAAGAACGCAGCGAAAUGCGAUAAGUAAUGUGAAUUGCAGAAUUCAGUGAAUCAUCGAAUCUUUGAACGCACCUUGCGCUCCUUGGUAUUCCGAGGAGCAUGCCUGUUUGAGUGUCAUUAAAUUCUCAACCUUCCAACUUUUAUUAGCUUGGUUAGGCUUGGAUGUGGGGGUUGCGGGCUUCAUCACUGAGGUCGGCUCUCCUUAAAUGCAUUAGUGGAACUUUUGUGGACCAUCUAUUGGUGUGAUAAUUAUCUACGCCGUGGGUGUGAAGCAGCUUUAUGAAGUUCUGCUUCUAACCGUCCAUUGACUUGGACAAUUUUGACAAUUUGACCUCAAAUCAGGUAGGACUACCCGCUGAACUUAAGCAUAUCAAUAAGCGGAGGA
rnacentral:rRNA from 1 species